GGAGAGUGAGACUUGCAGAGAGCGUUUGGAGGAGGAGCAUUUCAAAAGCUUUGGUGGGGGUGGGGGUGGGAAUACGAAGGAGAGGAAUUUGAGUCUGUGUGUUUUGACUGAGGCAGACUGUAAAAGAGUAGGUUAACUUUAGUAAAUAGGUGUAAAACGGUAAAAAUAAAAAAAGAUUAAUUUUGUAUUUAAAAAAAAAUCAAAAAAAAUUGGGGGGGUGGGAGUUGGAAUUGGGGAGGUACAGG
rnacentral:lncRNA from 1 species